UAAUAAAAAAAUAUAUAUGUAUAAAUAUAUACAUUACAUUGAACCAUUUGUAAUAUUAUUAUUUUAAAUAUUUUUUUUGCUCUUCAUUUGAACGCAAAACAAUAAAUACGUUUUUGUUUAUGGGAUCAUCAUCAUCAUGUCAAUGAAGCAGGCCGGCGGUAACCGAAAACCCGGCAACAGCAGCAGCGGUCCGGCUACGGCCUCUGGCGCCGGUGGAAGUGGGGGGAGCGGCGGACGGCAGAACAUGGGCAGAGGGCGCAGCAGCGGAAAAGGCCCUCCUCCAGCUACAAUUCCUUUUGAUGGUGUUUAUGCAAACAUGAGGAUGGUACAUGUCCUAACAUCAGUUGUAGGAUCGAAAUGUGAAUUAAAAGUAAAAAAUGGAGUUAUUUAUGAAGGAGUUUUUAAAACCUACAGUCCCAAGUGUGACUUGGUUCUUGACGCUGCUCACCGCAAGAGUCCAGACUCUGGUCUUUGCCCAAAGCGUGAAGAUAUUCUGGAGAGCAUCAUUUUUAAGGCAUCUGAUGUUGUUGUGGUGCAGUUUAAAGAUGUAGACUUGAAUUAUGCAAGAAAAGUUUCUUCAGAAACAGAUGCAUUCACAGACCCUACUGUCAAUGCUAGAAUAAAUGGUGAGCACAAAGACAAAGAUUUGGAACCAUGGGACAGUGGUGAGCGUGUCAGUGAGGACCUAGAGGCCCUGGAGACCGAUGUGUCCAAUGGUUGGGAUCCAAAUGACAUGUUUAAAUUUAAUGAAGAAAACUAUGGAGUAAAAUCAACUUAUGACAGCAGUCUUUCCUCAUAUACGGUGGCUCUAGAAAGGGACACUUCUGAAGAGUUUCUGAAGCGGGAAGCCAGAGCAGCGCAACUCGCAGAUGAGAUCGAAUCAAGUGCCUCGUAUAAAGCCAGAGUGGCUGUGGAGAACGAUGAUCGCACAGAAGAGGAGAAAUACACAGCUGUGGCAAGAAACUCUGAAAGAGAAGGACACAGCAUGAACUCCAGAGAAAAUAAGUACAUUCCACCAGGACAGAGGAAUAGGGAUGGAAUGUCCUGGGGUACUGGGAGACAGAAUUCUCCAAGAAUGGCCCAACCUGGCACCGUACCCCCUCCUCCCCGCACUGGAGCUCACAACUCAGACUACAGUCCCAGCUCAGGAGCAGACCAAAGAGUGGUUAAUGGAGGUGUUCCCUGGCCAUCGCCUUGCCCAUCUCCUUCCUCUCGCCCACCUUCUCGUUACCAGUCAGCCCCCACCUCUCUUCCGCCUCGUGCAGCCACUCCCACCAGGCCGCCCUACAGGCCCUCGCGUCCCCCGUCUCGCCCCUCUGCUCAUGGUGCUCCAGUUCCUUUCUCUACUAUGCCUAAACGCAUGUCUACAGAAGGUCCUCCAAGGAUGUCUCCAAAGACCCAGCGCACCCCUCGGGGACACAGAGGUUCCACUGGAAGAGUUGGCAUGGGUGUGGAAUUCAUACCCCACAGUGCACCUGCGGAGGUGUCUCCCCCCCCAGCACCACGAAGCAGCCCCUCGGGCGGAACCUGGUCAGCUGUCGUUAGUGGAGGUUCAAGCUCCCGGUUAUCUCCUAAAGUACACAGACCCAGGUCUCCAAGGCAGAACAGUAUUGGAAGUGCUUCCAGUGGAUCAUCUCUUCCCUCUCCUCAAGCCGGUACUGUUCCUGUUGAGUCUGUAGCCAUGCCGGUUUCCGCCGUGUCUCCCACAGCAGCCAGUCCUGCAUCCAACAGAGCAGUCACCCCAUCUGCAGAAGCUAAAGAAUCCAGACUUCAGGAACCAAGGCAAAAUUCCCCUGCUGCAAACAAAGAAAAUAUCAAACCGAGCGAAACCUCUCCAAGCUUCCCAAGACCUGCUAAUAAAGGUGCUUCUUCUGUGGCUCCAGAUCAUAGACAACAAAUAGAUAAUUUAAAGAAAUUCAGUGAAGACUUUAGAUUACAGCCCAGUUCAAAUCCUGAUCCUGUUUUCGACCUUAUGAUGAGCCAACCUCGAGACCCUGCAGAGAAGUCCAGGGAGCCCCACCUGGAUAAGACUGCGGAGACGAGUAGUAAGGAAUCUGCCAGCGAGGACGGCACUGCCCCCAACACCACUGGCGGCAGCAAUAGCAGCAGCAAGCCCAGCAGCCCGAGCACCUCCCCGUCAGUUGUGUGCAGCUCGGAGCAAAAAAGAGGACCAGACGUCACCUCCCAGGGCGUCCAGACCUCCGGGCCAGGCAAUAAGCUGGACACGGACGACAAGAAAGACGCUACCCCAGAGCAAGUUAAAAAAUCAACAUUGAAUCCUAAUGCCAAGGAGUUCAAUCCCAGGUCAUUCUCUGCUCAACCCAAACCUGCCACUACACCCACACCCCCACGCCCUCAAGGCCAGCCUAGCCCUUCAAUUGUGGUGCAGCAGCAUCCCACGAUGUAUAGCCCAACAGUGUGCUUCCCACAAAUGUACCCCCUUCCUGUUAGCCCAGGAGUGCAGAAAAGCAUUGUCUGGAAGCCUACUGCUAUGUACCAUGUCCCAGUGACUCAUAUGCCAGUAAACCAGACGAAGCCCUAUAGAGCAGGUAAAGUUCCAAACAUGCCCCAGCAGAGGCCAGACCAGCAUCACCCUCAGGGCACCCCAACCAUGAUCCACCCUGCCACUGCAGCAGGGCCGCCUAUCGUGGCUCCCAAUCCAGUGUACUCUGCACAGUAUGUGACCUACAGCCCUCAGCAGUUCACCAACCAGCCCCUUGUGCAGCAAGUACCACACUAUCAGUCACAGCCUCCACAUGUCUACAGCCCUGUGUUGCAGAGCAAUGGCAGGAUGAUGGGUCCUCCAACCCAUGGGCAGCCUGGGCUGGUCUCCUCCUCAACAACACAGUAUGGUGCUGCAGAACAAACUCACACUAUGUAUGUGUCCCAGGGUCCUAUCCCCCAGCAGUACACGCACCCCAGUGCUACCCUGCACCAUCAUCCCCAGCACCCACAGCCCUCUGCCACCCCAACUGGGCAGCAGCAAGGACAGCACGCAGGCAGCCACCCUGCACCCAGCCCCGUCCAUUUUAUGUAUUUGUUAAAACAGCACGCUCAGCACCAGGCGGCGCAGGCUCUUCACUUGGGGAACCCACAGCAGCAGCCCAUCUACUCCACGCUGACCCCCACCCCACCCUCCAUGACGCCUGGUCCCAACCCGCAGUCUCCACAGACCAGCUUCGCCUCGGCUCAGCAAGCAGUCUACAUUCACCCCCAGCAAAUGCAGCACGGAUACAACACCUCGCACAUGGCACAUGUACCUCAGGCCCAUGUGCAGUCUGGAAUGGUACCCCCUCACCAUGCCACCCCAACACACCCGCCUAUGAUGCUGAUGGCGACGCAGUCUCCGGGAGGCCCGCAGCCUACCAUUCCCCAGAAUGCACUGCCUCCCAUUCCAGUCUCCUCAACCACACACUUCUCUUACAUGGCACACCCCACAGCUGUGAUAAUUGCAGGCUACCGUCAGUUAUGUCAGGUCAGUAGAAGAUGAGAUGGCCUAUUAACCCUAUCCUACCUAUUGAUGACUUGGCCACCCCCCCAGUGCAAGCUCACCAUCAGCAGCAGUUGUAGGAGAACCUCAAGGCUGGAGAACUCGACUCCCUCCCCUUCCCACCCAACCUGCUUCUACUGAUCUGAAGAGAGAUGGCUGCAUUUUCUCAUCAUGCUAAACUUUUGCUGUCUUGUAAACUAAUUAGGAAUGCUAACCAGUCAACUUGCAGACUGACUAAAGAGUAUUAAUAACUUAACGAACCCCCCCUCCCUCCCAGUUAGUGUAUUGUAUUCAAUCAAUCCCUGCAAAUGCCUCCCCCCUCAACCAAUUCAGCUUGCUGAUAUUUCCCCUGACCCUUGUAAGUUAUAAAACUCUUUUGUCAAGACUUGGAGACCCUUCUCAUUCUAACCUAACUUGAAAUAAGUAAAAAUAAUCUUGUAACAAAAUCUGGUUGGCAAAAAGUUUGAUUUAUUUAUGAAUCAUGAUUGCUGAGGUGACCCAUUGUCGCCCGACAGUUAUGUAACUUUUAAGUUAAAGAACUUUUACUUUGUAGAUAAUA